UCCCUGGUGGUCUAGUGGCUAGGAUUCGGCGCUUUCACCGUCGCGGCCCGGGUUCGAUUCCCGGUCAGGGAA
rfam:Loxodonta africana unplaced genomic scaffold scaffold_209, whole genome shotgun sequence.